rnacentral:rRNA from 1 species
CAAUAGCGUAUAUUAAAGCUGUUGCGGUUAAAAAGCUCGUAGUUGGAUUUCUGUCAAGGACAACUGGUCCGCCCUCCGGGUGAGCACAUAGUUUGGUCUUAGCAUCUUGCUGGAAACUGUUGCUGCACUUGGCUGUGUGGCGCAGCGUCCAGCACUUUCACUUUGAGGAAAUUGGAGUGUUUCAAGCAGGCACAUGCCUUUGGACACAGUAGCAUGGAAUAAUUAGAUUGGGCUUUUGCUCCAAUUUGUCGGUUUCUGGAGCUGAGGUGAGAAUUAAUGGGGAUUGUUGGGGGCAUCCGAAUUUAGCCGUCAGAGGUGAAAUUCUUGGAUCUGCUAAAGACGGACAACUGCGAAAGCGUUUGCCCAGGAUGUUUUCAUUGA